GUCUUAGCUUGCUAAGGCCGAUGGCGACCGGCGCACGGGUGAGUAACACGUAUCCAACCUGCCGUCUACUCUUGGACAGCCUUCUGAAAGGAAGAUUAAUACAGGAUGGCAUCAUGAGUUCACAUGUUCACAUGAUUAAAGGUAUUCCGGUAGACGAUGGGGAUGCGUUCCAUUAGAUAGUAGGCGGGGUAACGGCCCACCUAGUCUUCGAUGGAUAGGGGUUCUGAGAGGAAGGUCCCCCACAUUGGAACUGAGACACGGUUCAAACUCCUACGGGAGGCAGCAGUGAGGAAUAUUGGUCAAUGGGCGAGAGCCUGAACCAGCCAAGUAGCGUGAAGGAUGACUGCCCUAUGGGUUGUAAACUUCUUUUAUAAAGGAAUAAAGUCGGGUAUGCAUACCCGUUUGCAUGUACUUUAUGAAUAAGGAUCGGCUAACUCCGUGCCAGCAGCCGCGGUAAUACGGAGGAUCCGAGCGUUAUCCGGAUUUAUUGGGUUUAAAGGGAGCGUAGAUGGAUGUUUAAGUCAGUUGUGAAAGUUUGCGGCUCAACCGUAAAAUUGCAGUUGAUACUGGAUAUCUUGAGUGCAGUUGAGGCAGGCGGAAUUCGUGGUGUAGCGGUGAAAUGCUUAGAUAUCAC
rnacentral:rRNA from 1 species